UUGCCAAGUUGGGGUAUUCAUCUAAGGCGUUUUCGCCCUAUAUAGGCAGACCAGCUUGUCAGUAGAUUUAAACAACAAUAACAGACUACAUUUUCGGACAUUAACAGCUAUAUUGGACACGUUACAGAAUGAAAUGGUGGAUAUUGAUUGUAACUUUUGUGAUCAUAGCAGUUUCCAUACACAAUACUGAUGGUCAAGAUUUGGAUCCUGCUGAGUCAGUGCCAGAAAAAUGCACUAGCUACAAUAUAAGUGGGAAUGACACUAUACUGUAUACAAAGAGUUUCUUGUGCACGUCUUCAGACAAUCCGUACUGCUGUGGAGAGGAGGGUCAUCAAUACUGCUGUUCAUCAAGAUCUCAUGACAUCAUAUUUUUCGUCAUUUUUGGCGUCAUAGCAGGCCUGUCGGUAUUGGCUUUUAUUGGUUUCUGUGUUAGAAGGCACAUGAGGUCGACAUGAUUGAGCAAUGGAACCAGCUUGAGAAGAAAUCCGCCAUAUUCAACCAAGGAUACAGUUAUCCUCUGGGUGCGGAAAAAAGCGUCAUUUUUUUCAUUUUCAGUGAGCCACCAUGCAAUUUAAGCGCAGCACCACAAGCUAUUAAAAUAAACCAAUGGGAUUUAAGAGGGGAUCUGCAGAAAUCCGUUUUCCUUCAAAGACUACAGUAUCUGCUCCUGUCAAGCAACGGACGACUCGUAUGUCAAAGUACCGACUAAAUAAAGGAUAACAAAUACCAGAUACAUGUUUAGCAGCUACAUGUAUUGAUGUAUAUUGUACAUGUAAUAAAUGCCUUUAUAACUCGA